rnacentral:rRNA from 1 species
CACACCGUCCGUCACACCAUGGGAGUUUGUUGCACCAGAAGCAGGUAGCUUAACCUUCGGGAGGGCGCUUGCCACGGUGUGGCCGAUGACUGGGGUG